CUCCAUGGAUGCACACAUAGUUAGAGAAUGGGCACAACAAGAGCUAUGUCUCCUGGGCAAUGCCAAUUUUACCAUAUCAACUGAGCACCACAAAGCAGCUCUCUUCAAACUAGAUGCCAAGUUGGUGGACUUGGCAUCCAAAUAAUUGAGCCUAGACACUAAAGGCCUCCUGUUUGGUGACAAAUUUAUUAAAGAGCUGAACCAUUAUAUCUCUUUCUAUACAUCCCUGAACAAAGCACAACUUUCCCUUAAGAACUGGGAUAGUUUUCAAACCAGUGUUGGUGGGCAGUGGCGC